UCUGAUGACGACCAAACCAGUAUACAUUGU
rnacentral:piRNA from 1 species